UGUGGGUGUGCUGUGGGUGUGCAAUGGGUGUGCAAUGGGUGUUGAGUGUGUGCAGAGUGUGGUGGGAGUGUGUGAGUGUGUGUGUGUCACGUGUGUCACAUGUGUCAUGGGUGUGCAAUGUGUGUGCAGGGAGCUGAGUGUGUGCAGUGUGUGUUGGGAGUGUGUGUGUGUCACGUGUGUCACGUUUGUCAUGGGUGUGCAAUGGGUGUGCAGGGAGUGGAGUGUGUGCAGUGCGUGCUGGGAGGGUGUGAGUGUGUGUCACAUGUGUCACGUGUGUCAUGGGUGUACAUUGGGUGUGCAAUGGACGUGUGGGGCGCCGAGUGAGUACAGGGCGUGGUGGGAGUGUGGGGGAGGGGGGGGUGUGAGUGUCACGUGGGUGGCGCGCGUUGUGGGUGUGCUGUGGGUGUGCAAUGGGUGUGCAAUGGGUGUGCAGUGGGUGUGUGGGGUGUUGAGUGUGUGCACAGUGUGGUGGAGUUGUGUGUAUGUGUGUCACGUGUGUCAUGGGUGUGCAAUGGGUGUGCAGGGAGCUGAGUGUGUGCAGUGCGUGCUGGGAGGGUGUGAGUGUGUGUGUCACAUGUGUCACGUGUGUCAUGGGUGUGCAAUGGGUGUGAAGUGGGAGUGUGGGGCGCUGUGUGUGUGCAGAGUGUGGUGGGAGUGUGUGAGUGUGUGUGUAUCACGUGUGUCACGUGUGUCAUGAGUGUGCAAUGGGCGUGCAAUGUGCGUGCAGGGAGCUGAGUGUGUGCAGUGCGUGGUGGGAGUGCGUGUGUGUCACGUGUGUAGCAGGGGUGCAAUGGGUGUGCAAUGGAGGUGCAAUGGGUGAGCUCUGGCUGUGCAAUGGGUGUGCAGGGAGCUGAGUGUGUGCAGUGUGUGGUGGGAGUGUGUAUGUGUGUGUCACGGGUGUUGGAUGUGUAGUUGGUGUGCAAAGGGUGUGCAAUUAGCAUGCAGUGCGUGUUGGGAGUGUGUUUGUGUGUGUCACAUGUGUCACGUGUGUCAUGCGUGUGCAAUGGGUGUGUAAUGGACGUGCAAUGGGUGAGCUCUGGGUGUGCAAUGGGUGUGCAAGGAACUGAGUGUGUGCAGUGUGUGGUGGGAGUGUGGUGUGUUUAUGUGUCACAUGUGUCACGUGCGUCGUGGGUGUGCAAUGGGCGUGCAAAGGCGUGGUGGGAGAGUGAGGGGGUGUCACACGCAUGUGGUGGGUGUGUAAUGGAUGUGCAAUGGGCGUGUUAGGAGUGUGUGUGUGUGUCGUGUGUUGUGUGUGUCCUGAGUGUGCAAUGGGUGUGUAAAGGGUGUGCAAUGGGCACGUAGGGUGUGUUGGGAGUGUAUGUGCGUGUGUUGUGUGUGAGUCAUGUGUGUUGUGUGUUGUGAGGGUGCAAUGGGUGUGUAAAGAGUGUGCAAUGCGUGUGCAGCUGCUGUGCAAUGGGUGUGCAAUCGGCGUGCAAUGGGCGUGCGGUGUGCGUGUUGUGAGUGUGUGUGUGGUGUAGUGCGUGUGUGUGUCGUGUGUGCCACGCGUUUGUGUGCAGUGGGUGUGCAAGGGGAGUGCAGGGGGUGUGGGGGGCACUGUGUGCGAGUGUGUUGUGUGUGUACAGAGUGUGAGUCACAUGUGUGUCACGUGUUUGUGUCACGUGUGUGUCACAUGUGUGUGUCACAUGUGUUGUGUGCGUUGAGUAUGCUUUUAGUGUGUGUGCAAUGGGCGUGCAAGGCACCUGCAGGGCAGUGAGUGUGUCUGGUGUUGCUAUGAGUGUGUUAUGUGUGUGUCACACGUGUUGUGUGUUCUGAGUGUGUGUGCAAUGGGCGUGCAGUGCAUGUGUGGGGUGCUGAGUGUGUCUGGUGCUUGUUAUGAGUGUGUCACGCGUGUGUCACGUGUGUUGUGUGUGCUGAUUGUGCCUAUAGUGUGUGUGCAAUGGUUGUGCAGUGCGUGUGCAGGGCACUGAGUGUGUCUGGUGAUUGUUAUGAGUGUCACGCGUGUGUCACACGUGUGUCACGUUUGUUGCAUGUUGUGUGUGCUGAGUGUGCUUAUAGUGUGCGUGCAAUGGGUGUGCAGUGUGUUUGUGGGGUGCUGCACGUAUGCAGUGUCACACGUUUGUGUGUGCAACGUGUGCAAUGCCUGCAAUCACGUGUGUGGUGUGUGCAGAGGGUGUGCAAUGUGCGUGCAAGGAGCGUGCACAGUGUGCAGUCUGUGUGCAAUGGGUGUGCAAUGUGUGUGCAGUGUGUGUGCAACGGGUGUGUCAUGUGUGCAGUGGGUGUGCAACGUGUGCAGCGCGUUGGUAACGUGAGCAACAAGUGCAGUGGGUUUACAGUGCGUGGUGUGUGUGCAACGGGUGUGCAAUGGGUGUGCACGGGGAGUGCUGUGGGCAUGCACAGGGCACGGUGGUGUGUGUGUGGAGCAGGGGGUGUGCAGAGGGAGCAGUGGGUGUGCAAGAGGAGUGUGGUGCGUGCAAAGGGUCUGCGGUGGGUGUGCACUGGGCUUGCACAGGGGGAGCUGUGUGUGCAGGGGAGUGCAACAUGUGCAGUGAGUGUGCAAGAGGAGUUCACUGCAUGCGUGGGGUGAGCGGUGGGUGUGUGCGCUGUGGGUGUGCAAUGAGUGUGUGCACAGGGCGUGCAGUGUGUGUGCAAAAAGAGUGCUGGGUGUGCAGUGAGUGUGCACACAGGUUGCAGUGGGUGUGCGGUGAGUGUGCAAAGGGGGUGCAGUGCGUGCAAAGAGCAUGCAGUAGACAUGCAGUGAGUGUGCAGCGCAGUGUGUGUGCACAGAGCGUGCAGUGUGUGCAGUGGGUGUGCAACAGGAGUGCAGUGCACGCUGUGGGUGGGCAGUGAGUGUGCAAAGGGGGUGCAGUGUGUGCAAGGAGUGCACAGUGGACGUGUAAUGAGUGUGCAGUGGGCGUGCACGGGGAGUGCAGUGCGUGCAGUGAGUGUGCAAUGGGUGUGCACAGUGUGUGCAGAAUGGGUGUGCACAGGGAAUGCAGUGUGCAGUGAGUGUGCAGUGGGUGUGCACAGGGAAUGCAGUGUACAGAAUGGGUGUGCAGUGAGUGUGCACUGCGUGCCAUGAGUGUGCACAGGGAGUACAGUUGGCAUGCAACGGGCAUGCACAGGGGGUCUAAUAGGUGUGCAGUGAGUGUGCAAUGAGUGUGCACAGGGAGUGCAGUUGACAUGCAGUGUCCGAUGGGUGUGCACAGGGGGUGCAAUGGGUGUGCAGUGAGUGUGCAAUGAGUGUGCACAGGGAGUGCAGUUGGUGAGCAGUGGGUGUGCACACGGGAUCUAAUGGGAGUGCAGCAAGUGUGCAAUGAGUGUGCACAGGGGGUGUGAUGGAGAUGCAGUGCAGUGAGUGUGCAAUGGGUGUGCAGAGGGAUUGUAAUGGAUGUGCAGUGCAGUGAGUGUGCAAUGAGUGUGCAGAGGGGAUUCAGUGCAUGCAGUCGGUGUGCAAUGGGUGUGCAAAGGGAUUGUAAUGGAUGUGCAGUCAGUGUGCAGUGGUUGUGCAAAGGGAUUGUAAUGGAUGUGCAGUGAGUGUGCAACGGGUGUGCACAGGGAGUCUAAAGGAUGUGCUGAGCAGUGAGUGUGCAAUGGGUGUGCACUGGGAGUGCAGUGUGUGCAGUCGGUGUGCAAUGGGUGUGCAAAGGGAUUGUGAUGGAUGUGCAGUGCAGUGAGUGUGCAAUGGGUGAGCACUGGGUGUGUAAUGAGUGUGCACACAGUGUGUAGCGUGUGAGCACGGGAUGUGCACGCACGUUGCACCCACAAGGUUUGCACACCCGAGCAAGUGGUGCAGGUGUGCAUUAUGUGGUGCGUGUGCAGGGCUCUCACGCGUGUGCACAGGGGUGUGGGUGUGCAAGGUGUGAAUGUUUGUGCACCGGGGCAGUGUGCUUUGCACAGUGUGCUGACAGGAUGCGUGUGCAAUGUGAUCCUACUCACACGCGUGUGCAAGGCAGUCUGUGCGCAUGGCGACGCUCAUGCACGUGUGCUCCUCAUGCACACUCAUGCCACGUGCCUUGCACACGCGAGCAGUGCUCAACACAUCGCUUGUGCACACUUGCGUGUGCGUGUGCAACAGCCGCAGCACUUGCAGAGCAUGGGAGGUGGCACCUAACAUGCGUGUGCAAACAUGUUUGUGCAUACAAUGGGUGUGCAACACCAGCAAAGUGUGCAAGCGUGCUCAGGGCUGUGUACACAACACAUGCGUGAGCCUGCACGCUGCAUGAGUGUGCAAGAUGUGCAACGUCUGCUUGCACGAUGAGUGUUUGUGUGUGCAUAUAUGUACGUGUAUGUGCAAUAAGUGUGCAACACCAGCAGCACUUGCGGAGCACACAUGUGUGUCUGUGUGCUGCCACAACGAGUGUGCAAGCCUGCGUGUUGCAUGCAUGUGCCUGCACGGAUAUGCGUGUGCAAGAGGUGUGCAACAGCAGCAGCACUUGCAGAGCACACAUGUGUUUCUGUGUUAUGGCACAACGAGUGUGCAAGGCUGCGAGGUGUGUGUGUGCAUACAUGUACGUGUGUGUGCAAGAGGUGUGCAACAGCAGCAGCACUUGCAGAGCGCACACGUGUGUCUGUGGGCUCCCACAAUGAGUGUGUAAGGCUGUGUGUUGCAUGCGUGUGCCUGCAUGGGUAUGUGUGUGCAAGAGGUGUGCAACAGCAGCAGCACUUGCAGAGCGCACACGUGUGUCUGUGUGCUGCCACAAUGAGUGUGCAAGGCUGUGUUGCAUGUUUGUAUGCGUGUGUGCCUGCAUGGGUAUGUGUGUGCAAGAGGUGUGCAACAGCAGCAGCACUUGCAGAGCACACACGUGUGUCUGUGUGCUGCCACAACGAGUGUGCAAGGCUGCGAGGUGUGUGUGUGCAUACAUGUACGUGUGUGCAAUAAGUGUGCAACAGCAGCAGCACUUGCAGAGCUCACACGUGUGUCUGUGGGCUCCCACAAUGAGUGUGCAAGGCUGUGUGUUGCAUGCGUGUGCCUGCAUGGGUAUGUGUGUGCAAGAGGUGUGCAACAGCAGCAGCACUUGCAGAGCACACACGUGUGUGAUGGCACAAUGAGUGUGCAAGGCUGCGUGUAGCAUGUUUGUAUGCGUGUGUGCCUGCAUGGGUAUGUGUGUGCAAGAGGUGUGCAACACCAGCAGCACUUGUGUGCAUGCCUGCCUGCCCACGUCUGCUUGAUGUGAGUGUGUACGUGAGUGCACACCGGCUGCGCGUGCAAACAUUGGCAUGGGUGUGCAAAACCAGCAGCACGUGCAGAGCACACAAGCCUGCUUGUGUGUGGGUGUGUCUGCGUGUGCAAAUGUUCACACGCGUGUGCAGCACCCGCCGCACUUAGGGCGCCUCGCUUGGAUCCACGUGCGUGUCAGGUGUGUGUGUGUGUGUGCGUGUGCAUACAUGCACACGCGUGUGCAACACCGACAGCGCUCACAAAGCAGAGCAGCUCCUUCCUGUCUGCUUGCACGAGGAGUGUGUGAAUGUGUGUGCACGUGUGAGUGUGUGUGCAUGUAAAUUCGUGACACACGCGUAUGCUUGAAUGUGUGGAUGGGUGUGCAUGUGCGUGUGCCCACACGUACACGCGUGUGCAACAGCUGUGCAGCACUCACAGCGCGUGUGAGCCGGCUGCUGCCUGCUGGCACCACAUACAUACCCGUGCUUGCACACGCGUGUGCAACAUGCAUAGCUAUAAGCGAGCGUGCACAUGUGUGUGCCUCCAUGUACACGCGUGUGCAACACCAGCAGCCAUUGCAGAGCAUGCAGGCCCUACUGCUGCCUGCUUGCACGUGCGUGUGUAAGCAUGCGUGCCCUCUGUGUGUGAGUGUGCACGUGUAAGUGCACAACACACACGUGUGCCUGCACGUUGCAUGCCUGUACAUGUGUGUGCUCACACGUAUGUGUGCAACAGCGGCCGUGACAUGCGCAUACCUGUGCUUGCACACGCCUGUGCAUACAUGCUGCAGGGCUAUAUGUGCGUGUGCUCACGUGCGUGUGCAACAGCAGAGCAGCACCACCAGCACUCAUAGAGCCCCUGUGAGCCAAUUGCUUCCUGCUGGCACCACACAGUUGCACAGAUGCUUGCACACGCGUGUGCAUGAACUACGGCCUGUCACACACAUGUGCAUGCAUGUAUCUGUGUGUGUGCUCACACGUGCGUGUGCAACAGCAAUCAGCAUCUGCAGCACUCAUAGCGCCCUUGUGAGCUGACGGCCGCCUGCUGGCACCACACGGUUGCACAUACACUUGCACACACGUGUGCACUCACUACGGUCUAUCACACACGUGCACACGCACGUUGUGUGCAUAUGAGUGUGCAACAGUCAUGCACUCUCAGAGCCCCUGUGAGCCAAUUGCUGCCUGCUGGCACCACACGGUUGCACGUACACUUGCACACACGUGCGCACUCACUACGGCCUAUCACACACACGUGUGCACACCUGCAGUGUGUGUGUGAGUGUGCAACAGCAGAGCAGCACCUGUAGCACUCAUAGAGCCCUUGUGAGCUGACAGCUGCCUGCUGGCACCACACGGUUGCACAUACACAUGCACACGCGUGUGCACACACUACAGCCUGUCACACACGUGUGCAUGUAUAUAUAUAUGUGUGUGCGCUCACACGUGCGUGUGCAACAGCAAUCAGCACCUGCAGCACUCAUAGAGCCCUUGUGAGCUGACGGCCGCCUGCUGGCACCACACAGUUGCACAUACACUUGCACACGCGUGUGCACUCACUAUGGCCUAUCACACAUGCGUGCAUGCAUGCUGUGUAUAUGUUAGUGUGCAACGGCCAUGCACUCUCAGAGCCCCUGUGAGCCAAUUGCUGCCUGCUGGCACCACACAGCUGCACAGAUGCACACGCGUGUGCACUCACUAUGGCCUAUCACACACGUGUGCACACCUGCAGUGUGUGUGUGAGUGUGCAACAGCAGAGCAGCACCUGCAGCACUCAUAGAGCCCUUGUGAGCUGACAGCCGCCUGCUGGCACCACACGGUUGCACAUACACGUGCACACGCGUGUGCACACACUACAGCCUGUCACACACGUGUGCAUGCAUAUAUAUGUGUGUGUGCUCACACGUGCGUGUGCAACAGCCACGCAGCACUCACAGAGCCCUUGUGAGCCGACAGCCGCCUGCUGGCACCACACGGUUGCACAGACACUUGCACACACGUGUGCACUCACUACAGCCUGUCACACACGUGUGCAUGCAUAUAUAUAUAUGUGCGUGUGUGCUCACACGUGCGUGUGCAACAGCCAUGCAAUACCCGCAUCACUCACAGAGCCCUUGUGAGCCAAUUACUGCCUGCUGGCACCACACAGUUGCACAGACGCACACGCGUGUGCACUCACUACAGCCUGUCACACGCAUGUGCAUGCACGUACAUGUGUGUGCUCACACGUGCGUGUGCAACAGCCACGCAGCACUCACAGAGCCCUUGAGAGCCUAUUGUUGCCUGCCGGCCCCACGCAGUUGCACAGACACACACACGUGUGCACUCACUACAGCCUGUCACACGCGUGUGCAUGCAUAUAUUGCUCACACGUGCGUGUGCAACAGCCACGCAGCACUCACAGAGCCCUUGUGAGCCGACAGCCGCCUGCUGGCACCACAUGGUUGCACAGACACUUGCACACACGUGUGCACUCACUACAGCCUGUCACACACGCGUGCACACCUGCAGUGUGUAUGUGAGUGUGCAACAGCCAUGCAGCACCCGCAGCACUCACAGAGCCCCUGAGAGCCUAUUGCUGCCUGCUGGCACCACGCUGUUGCACAUACACUUGCACACACGUGUGCACUCACUAUGGCCUGUCACAGACGUGUGCAUGCACGUACAUGUGUGUGCUCACACGUGCAUGUGCAACAGCCACGCAGCACUCACAGAGCCCUUGAGAGCCUAUUGCUGCCUGCUGGCACCACAUGGUUGCACAGAUACUUGCACACUAUGGCCUAUCACACACGUGUGCACACCUGCAGUGUGUAUGUGAGUGUGCAACAGCCAUGCAGCACCCGCAGCACUCACAGAGCCCAUGAGAGCCUAUUGCUGCCUGCUGGCACCACACUGUUGCACAUACACUUGCACACACGUGUGCACUCACUACAGCCUGUCACACACGUGUGCAUGCAUAUAUGUGUGUGUGCUCACACGUGCGUGUGCAACAGCCACGCAGCACUCACAGAGCCCUUGUGAGCCGACGGCCGCCUGCUGGCACCACAUGGUUGCACAGACACUUGCACACACGUGUGCACUCACUACAGCCUGUCACACACGUGUGCACACCUGCAGUGUGUAUGUGAGUGUGCAACAGCCAUGCAGCACCCACAGCACUCACAGAGCCCCUGAGAGCCUAUUGCUGCCUGCUGGCACCACACUGUUGCACAUACACUUGCACACACGUGUGCACUCACUACAGCCUGUCACACACGCGUGCACACCUGCAGUGUGUAUGUGAGUGUGCAACAGCCAUGCAGCACCCGCAGCACUCACAGAGCCCCUGAGAGCCUAUUGCUGCCUGCCGGCCCCACGCACGCUCACACCCGCGUGUGCACUCACCCGACGGCCCCUCACACGCGCGUGCAAAGCCCGGGGGGGGGGAUUUCGACCAAAGGGGGGGGUCGGGGGGGGGGAGGGGUCGGUUGCAGGUUGGCUAUGGGGGGGUUUUGGGGGGGGGGGGGGGUUUGCUAGCGCUACUGUGACGGCAUCCCUGAUCUUCGUCGCUAGUGAGAAGUGGGGCCGGGCGGCCGCGAGUCCUCGUGAGUCCUCGUGAGCUCACGCCGGCCACCCUCCACGAUUAUUUAUCCGUAUGAGUAUGAUUAGUAUCCUUAUUAUCAUUAAUUAUUAUUAUUAUUAUUAGCAUUCUUAGUAUUAUUAGUAUUAUUGCUCUGAGAGGUUUCAGUCCGACGCGGUCAUGGAGGAGAAGUUGGGCGCUCCCACAGCGCCACCUGCAGGACGGGAGGAGAAACGGCGCCCCCCCGCCCCCAUAGCGGCUCUUCCUCCUCCUCCUCCUCCUCUCCUCUCCUCGACGUCGUCGUCUGCUUCGCUCUGUGCUGAGUCCCGUUGGGGGGGUUUUUGGGGAGGGGGGUGGGGGGGGGGGGGGGUUGGGGGUCCCUCCCCUCCGCUCGGUGCUUUUUGCUUUUUUUCUUGCUUUUUUUUCUUUUCUUUUGGCUUUUUUUGUUUGUUUGUUUUUCUCUCGUUUUUUUUUUCCCUGUUUUAUUUUCUCCUUUUUUUUUUCGGUUUUUUUUUCUUCUUUUUUUCCUUCAUUUUUAAGCUUUUUUUCUCCCUUUUUAAAUCUUUUCUUCCCCUUUUCUUCUCCUUUUCUUCUCCUUUUCUUCUCCUUUUUUUCUCCUUUUCUCUCCUUUUUUCUCCUUUUCUCUCCUUUUUUCCUUUUUUUCUUCUCCUUUUCUUUUCCUUUUCUUCUCCUUUUUUCUCCUUUUUCUUCUCCUUUUCUUCUCCUUUUUUCUCCUUUUCUUCUCCUUUUUCUUCUCCCUUUUUCUCCUUUUUUCUCCCUUUUUUCUCCUUUUUUUUCUCCUUUUCUUCUCCUUUUUCUUCUCCUUUUCUUCUCCUUUUUCUCCUUUUUCUCCUUUUUUCUCCUUUUUUCUCCUUUUUUCUCCUUUUUUCUCCUUUUUUCUCCCUUUUUUCUCCUUUUUUCUCCUUUUUUCUUCUUUUCUUCUCAUUUUUUCUCCAUUUUAUCUCCUCUUCUUCCUUUUUUCUCAUUUUCUCCUUUUUUCCUCCUUUUCUCUUUCUCUUUUUCUUCUCCUUUUUUUCUCCUUUUCUUCUCGUUUUUUUCUCCUUUUUUCUCCUUUUCUUCUCCUUUUUUCUCCUUUUUUCCUCCCUUUUCUCCCUUUUUCUCCUUUAUUUCUCCUUUUUUCUCCUUUUUCUCCUCCUUUUCUCCUCUGUUUCUCCUUUUUCUCCUUUUCUCUCCAUUUUUUCCUCCUCUUUUUUCUCCUUUUUUUCUCCCUUUUUCUCCUAUUUUUGGCACCUCUUCCCAUUUUCUUCCCCUCUUCCUUUCAAAUCUUUUUUCCUCUCUUUUUUUUUCCUCAUUCUCCCCCUUUUUUCUCCUUUCUCUCCUUUUUUUCGCAUUUUUUCUCCUCCUUUUCUCCUCUUUUAUUCCUCUUUUCCUCCACUUUUUCACCUCUUUUUCUCCAUUUUUUCUCCUCUUUUCCUCCUUUUUUUCUCCUCUUCUCCUCCUUUUUUUUCCUCCUCAUUUUCUCCUUUUUUCCUCCCUUUUUCUCCUUUUUUUUCCAUUUUUUCACCUCUUUUCCUCCUUUUUUCUCCUCUUCUCCUCCUUUUUUUCUCAUCAUUUUCUCCUUUUUCCUCCCUUUUUUUCUCCUCUUUUUCCUCACUAUUUUCUCCUUUUUUCUCCUUUUUUCUCCAUUUUAUCUCCUCUUCUCCUCCUUUUUUUCUCAUUAUCUUUUUUCCUCCAUUUUUUCUCCUCUUUUCCUCCUUUUUAUUCUCCUCUUCUCCUCCUUUUUUUUCUCAUUUUCUCCUUUUUUCCUCCCUUUUUUGUCCUUUUUUCUCCAUUUUAUCUCCUCUUCUCCUCCUUUUUUUUCUUCUCAUUUCCUCAUUUUUUCCUCCCUUUUUCUCCCUUUUUCUCCAUUUUUCUCUUUUCCUCCUUUUUUUCUCCUCUUCUCCUCCUUUUUUCCUCCUCAUUUUCUCCAUUUUUCCUCCUUUUUUUCUCCUUUUUUCUCCAUUUUUUCUCCUCUUCUCCUCCUUUUUUUUUCUUCUCAUUUCCUCCUCUUUUUCCUCCCUUUUUCUCCUUUUUUUCUCCCUUUUUUCUCCUCUUUUCCUCCUUUUUAUUCUCCUCUUCUCCUCCUUUUUUUUCCUCCUCAUUUUCUCCUUUUUUCCUCCCUUUUUCCUCCUUUUUUCUCCUUUUUUCUCCAUUUUAUCUCCUCUUCUCCUUUUUUCCUCCCUUUUUUCUCCUUUUUUCUCCAUUUUAUCUCCUCUUCUCCUCCUUUUUUCCUCCCUUUUUUCCUCCUUUUUUUCUCCUUUUUUCCUCCUUUUUCCUCCUCUUUUCCUCCUCAUUUUCUCCUUUUUUCCUCCCUUUUUUCUCCUUUUUUCUCCCUUUUUCUCCAUUUUAUCUCCUCUUCUCCUCCUUUUUUCCUCCCUUUUUUCUCCUUUUUUCUCCAUUUUAUCUCCUCUUCUCCUCCUUUUUUCCUCCCUUUUUUCCUCCCUUUUUUCUCCUUUUUUCCUCCUUUUUCCUCCUCUUUUCCUCCUCAUUUUCUCCUUUUUUCCUCCCUUUUUUCUCCUUUUUUCUCCCUUUUUCUCCAUUUUAUCUCCUCUUCUCCUCUUUUUUUUCCUCCUCAUUUUCUCCUUUUUUCCUCCCUUUUUCCUCCCUUUUUUCUCCUUUUUUCUCCAUUUUAUCUCCUCCUCCUUUUUUCCUCCUUUUUUUCUCCUUUUUUCCUCCUUUUUCCUCCUCUUUUCCUCCUCUUUUUCUCCUUUUUCCUCCCUUUUUCUCCUAUUUUUUGGCAUCUCUUCCCAUUUUCUUCCCCUCUUCCUUUCCAAUCUCUCUUUUUUUUUUCUCUCCUUUUUUCGCAUUGUUUUUCCCAUCCCGUUCUGAGAUUCGACUUUGGCAUCGCGGGGGGGGGG
ensembl:lncRNA